rnacentral:tRNA from 1 species
GCAGAGAAUAGUUUAUAAAAAAUAUUAAUUUUGGAGAUUAAAGAAGAAUAUUAUUUUUCUCUG